GACGAACGCUGGCGGCGUGCCUAAUACAUGCAAGUUGAGCGAUGAAGCUUGGUGCUUGCCCCAAUUUGAAGAGCAGCGAACGGGUGAGUAACGCGUGGGGAAUCUGCCUUUGAGCGGGGGACAACAUUUGGAGACGAAUGCUAAUACCGCAUAACAACUUUAAACAUAAGUUUUAAGUUUGAAAGAUGCAAUUGCAUCACUCAAAGAUGAUCCCGCGUUGUAUUAGCUAGUUGGUGAGGUAAAGGCUCACCAAGGCGAUGAUACAUAGCCGACCUGAGAGGGUGAUCGGCCACAUUGGGACUGAGACACGGCCCAAACUCCUACGGGAGGCAGCAGUAGGGAAUCUUCGGCAAUGGACGAAAGUCUGACCGAGCAACGCCGCGGGAGUGAAGAAGGGUUUCGGAUCGUAAAACUCUGUUGGUAGAGAAGAACGUUGGUGAGAGUGGAAAGCUCAUCAAGUGACGGUAACUACCCAGAAAGGGACGGCUAACUACGUG
rnacentral:rRNA from 1 species